CAAGCCUGAUCCAGCCAUGCCGCGUGAGUGAUGACGGCCUUAGGGUUGUAAAGCUCUUUCAACGGUGAAGAUAAUGACGGUAACCGUAGAAGAAGCCCCGGCUAACUUCGUGCCAGCAGCCGCGGUAAUACGAAGGGGGCUAGCGUUGUUCGGAAUUACUGGGCGUAAAGCGCACGUAGGCGGAUACUUAAGUCAGGGGUGAAAUCCCGGGGCUCAACCCCGGAACUGCCUUUGAUACUGGGUAUCUAGAGUAUGGUAGAGGUGAGUGGAAUUCCGAGUGUAGAGGUGAAAUUCGUAGAUAUUCGGAGGAACACCAGUGGCGAAGGCGGCUCACUGGACCAUUACUGACGCU
rnacentral:rRNA from 1 species